rnacentral:rRNA from 1 species
AUACAGAGGGUGCGAGCGUUAAUCGGAAUUACUGGGCGUAAAGCGCGCGUAGGCGGUUUAUUAAGUCAGAUGUGAAAUCCCCGGGCUCAACCUGGGAACUGCAUCUGAUACUGGUAAGCUAGAGUUUUGGAGAGGGAAGUAGAAUUUCAGGUGUAGCGGUGAAAUGCAUAGAGAUCUGAAGGAAUACCAGUGGCGAAGGCGACUUCCUGGCCAAAAACUGACGCUGAGGUGCGAAAGCGUGGGUAGCAAACGGGAUUAGAAACCCCAGUAGUCC